UACGAAGGGGGCUAGCGUUGUUCGGAAUUACUGGGCGUAAAGCGCGCGUAGGCGGUGAUCUUUGUCAGAGGUGAAAGCCUGGGGCUCAACUCCAGAAUUGCCUUUGAAACGGGAUUGCUUGAGUCCGAGAGAGGAUGGCGGAAUUCCUAGUGUAGAGGUGAAAUUCGUAGAUAUUAGGAAGAACACCGGUGGCGAAGGCGGCCAUCUGGCUCGGUACUGACGCUCAGGCGCGAAAGCGUGGGGAGCAAACAGGGAUUAAGAAACC
rnacentral:rRNA from 1 species